GAUGAACGCUGGCGGCGUGCCUAAUACAUGCAAGUCGAGCGAACAGACGAGGAGCUUGCCCCUCUGACGUUAGCGGCGGACGGGUGAGUAACACGUGGAUAACCUACCUAUAAGACUGGGAUAACUUCGGGAAACCGGAGCUAAUACCGGAUAAUAUAUUGAACCGCAUGGUUCAAUAGUUAAAGACGGUUUUGCUGUCACUUAUAGAUGGAUCCGCGCCGCAUUAGCUAGUUGGUAAGGUAACGGCUUACCAAGGCAACGAUGCGUAGCCGACCUGAGAGGGUGAUCGGCCACACUGGAACUGAGACACGGUCCAGACUCCUACGGGAGGCAGCAGUAGGGAAUCUUCCGCAAUGGGCGAAAGCCUGACGGAGCAACGCCGCGUGAGUGAUGAAGGUCUUCGGAUCGUAAAACUCUGUUAUUAGGGAAGAACAAAUGUGUAAGUAACUAUGCACGUCUUGACGGUACCUAAUCAGAAAGCCACGGCUAACUACGUG
rnacentral:rRNA from 1 species